rnacentral:lncRNA from 1 species
GGCGGCAGUGAGGGUGUGUGUAUGUGUGUGUGAGAGCUCCGGGAGGGAGGGUGAGGAGGGGGGGUGAGGGGGGAGAAGGUAGCCCGGAUUGGUUCGGGUUCUCCACAGACGAGACAGGGAACAGAAGAUCUGAGACCCUCCCUGCCGGUACCGCCUCCUUUCCCCCCACCCGCCCCACUUCUCUGAGCUCGGGGAUCCAUAGGACCCUGAAAGUUUGGGAAUCUGAUCCUCCCCAGGGCUCCUCGAAGGGUCUGGGGGCUCUCUGGCCUUAAUGUAGAGGUCCCGGGGCCCUGGUGAAGGAAAUCUGUCUGAUUCGGGUUCGGCAGCUGCUAACUUCGGGAUGAAAUUUCCUCUCGCCUAAUUAGGGUCGUCUUACAUCCAAAGCAUCGCAGCCUAGGACCAGACAACCCCCUUGGGCCCCCCACCUCCCAGGUUCUGGAGGGGAAACCUAGGCCGCGCAAACUUGCCUACCCCAAACCGGGCUUUCCUUUGAGCUGCGCACUGCUGAGGACGGAAUCGGCGCGUCCUGGAGCUGCGCUCUGCGCGGGAGUUGGGAGCAACGAUCCCCGAUCAGGAGUGCUCCCAGCAAGACCAGAAGACCAAUGGAUUAGACCAAGCCCACAUUAGUCACAGGCAUCCUGGAAACCAAAAGCUGAUCUGUCUAUAAGUGCAAAGGGAAAGGAGGCUGAUGGUACUUCAAUUACCUUUUUCUGUUGGCUAUGUUUAGCCUGACCAAGAGCUAAUUUGCUUAGGUGCUACUAUUCACAGAUGGCUUAUUAUUAUUAUUAUGGAAUCCUGUAUCGUAUUGUGGCUCCAAGUACUCGUGUUUUGUGUCUAUGCAUGUACUGCCCUGAAAGCCGCAGGUAAUAGAUCCCACAUGUAAUUGUGUUUGUUUUUAAAAAUAAAGGAGGCUGAUUCUAAUACUCUGUAGGAGAG